rnacentral:rRNA from 1 species
UACGAAGGGGGCUAGCGUUGUUCGGAAUCACUGGGCGUAAAGCGCACGCAGGCGGAUUGAUAAGUCAGGGGUGAAAUCCCGGAGCUCAACUUCGGAAUUGCCUUUGAUACUGUUAAUCUCGAGUCCGGGAGAGGUGAGUGGAAUUCCUAGUGUAGAGGUGAAAUUCGUAGAUAUUAGGAAGAACACCAGUGGCGAAGGCGGCUCACUGGCCCGGUACUGACGCUCAUGUACGAAAGCGUGGGGAGCAAACAGG